rnacentral:rRNA from 1 species
UGGGGAAUUUUGGACAAUGGGCGAAAGCCUGAUCCAGCAAUGCCGCGUGUGUGAAGAAGGCCUUCGGGUUGUAAAGCACUUUUGUCCGGAAAGAAAUCCUUGGCUCUAAUACAGUCGGGGGAUGACGGUACCGGAAGAAUAAGCACCGGCUAACUACGUGCCAGCAGCCGCGGUAAUACGUAGGGUGCAAGCGUUAAUCGGAAUUACUGGGCGUAAAGCGUGCGCAGGCGGUUUGCUAAGACCGAUGUGAAAUCCCCGGGCUCAACCUGGGAACUGCAUUGGUGACUGGCAGGCUAGAGUAUGGCAGAGGGGGGUAGAAUUCCACGUGUAGCAGUGAAAAUGCGUAGAGAUGUGGAGGAAUACCGAUGGCGAAGGCAGCCCCCUGGGCCAAUACUGACGCUCAUGCACGAAAGCGUGGGGAGCAAAACAGGAUUAGAUACCCUGGUAGUCCACGCCCUAAAACGAUGUCAACUAGUUGUUGGGGAUUCAUUUCCUUAGUAACGUAGCUAACGCGUGAAGUUGACCGCCUGGGGAGUACGGUCGCAAGAUUAAAACUUAAAGGAAUUGACGGGGUCAUAGCUGUUUCCU